AAGGCUAUUUAUGGGCUGAAACAGUCUCCCCGUGCUUGGUUUGAUAAGUUCAACAAAUUUAUUGGUGGUUAUGGGUUCACUCAAUGCUUCUCUGAUCCCUUUGUAUUUGUUCGUCGUCAUGGGGCCAAGGUCGUCAUUCUUGUUGUAUGUGUUGAUGAUAAUAUCAUUUCUGGUAAUGACUCUUCUGGCAUUGAAGAUGUCAAGGCAUAUCUACAUCGGCAUUUUCAGAUGAACUUAGAGAAGCUCAAUUUGUCUCAGAGGAAAUAUAUCCUUGAUCUUCUGUCUGAGACUGGCAUGUUGGACUGUAAGCCCAUUAAUAACCCUAUGGGUCCUAAUCUGCAACUUGGGGCAUGUGAU